CGGUAAUACGUAGGGGGCGAGCGUUGUCCGAAUUUACUGGGCGUAAAGCGCGCGUAGGCGGGCUAAUAAGUUGUGGGUGAAAUGCCGAGGCUCAACCUCGGCGCUGCCUGCAAGACUGUUGGUCUUGAGGUAUGGAGGGGAAAGCGGAAUUCCUGGUGUAGCGGUGAAAUGCGUAGAUAUCAGGAGGAACACCGAUGGCGAAGGCAGCUUUCUGGCCAUAUCCUGACGCUGAGGUGCGAAAGCCAGGGUAGCGAACGGGAUUAGAUACCCCGGUAGUCCUGGCCGUAAACGAUGGAUACUAGGUGUUAGAGGUAUCGACCCCUCUAGUGCCGGAGCUAACGCAUUAAGUAUCCCGCCUGGGGAGUACGGUCGCAAGACUGAA
rnacentral:rRNA from 1 species